rnacentral:antisense_RNA from 1 species
CCGCCCCCUGCCCCGCCUCCUUCCGCGUCCUGGCCCGCAAGAGCCCCGGGGGUCCGCCCGCAGCUGGCUAAGCGCUAGCCCGGCCUGUGGCGAGUCUGCAGAGCUCGCCCGGAAGUAGCGUUGCGCGCGCAGAGGAUGGGCGCUGAGCAGCACACAGCCCGCGGCGGGGUCUCAGGAUCCGCGGCGCUGCCCGGGGCCGGGGGAAGGAAGCCAGCCGAGGAGACGCACGUGCCCUGAGUCCGGGAGCGGGGAGCCUCUUCAUCUCUCCAUCCUCCCUCCGCGCGCGCCCUCAGCCGUCCUCGUCCGCUCACCAUGCACCUCCCCCCCAAGAAAGGACCACAUGCGUGCCAGGGACGUGAGCCCCGGCCACAGGGACAUAGCAGCCUAGAAGAGACAGAGCUUCACCAUGAUGGCCAGGCUGGUCUCGAACUCCUGGACUCAAGCAAUCUGCCUACCUGGGCCUCCCAAAGUGUUGGGAUUGUGGGCAUGAGCCACCUUGCCUGGCAUAUUCAAUGUUCUGUAGAGGAAUAAAAGUUCCCUGUUUUUCAAAUGAGCCCAUGAGUCAAAAAGAAUGGCAUAAGGCAAUUACCCAUAAAAACAAAAUUAAUAAAAUCUUCAUGUGGCACACCUAAAAACACUUCUCUUUCCAUGUAAGAACUAAAUAUAUGUCACUCUUCUGAUCAGGCACAUGGGCUGGAAUGAAAGAUCGUCCUUAUCUGGUUUAUUGCAGGACUCUCAUGCUUCCAACAGAAAAGGGAAAGACAAUAGACAAAAAAAAAAAAAAAAAAAAACCAAAAACUAGUUGUCUGAGGUUUUUUGUUUUUUUUUUUAAAGUUUUCUUUCUAUUCGAAUAACUAGCUGUCUAUAAUCAGGGUGCCAACUGAACAAUGAGUGCAGACACAGACAGGUUUGGCGUCACCUGUGUGUUCUGCGUCGGGAUCUGUAACAGCAGUGCCAGUGCACUGAAGUCGAAGGUUUCAUCUAAGGCCAGAAGUGCUCCGUGAACACCACUCUCUAUAAGAUUGUUUGCAUAUUCUUUAAGGCCAAUUGACAGGAUCCAGCGAAUCACUCGAUCAUUGCUCCAAACAAGCACAUCUGCAAAAGAAUAAAGACAAUUAUAAAAGUGGCUUCAGAAAGCCAUCUUUAUCACAUGUACCCUGUAAUGCAGGAGAAAGAUUCCUACCAUGGUUCCUAAUCCUUCGGCUCCUGAGAAAAGUGCUGGGAGACACUGCUAAAUAGACAACCAUUUGCUGCACUGAGACAAUGGUGUCCUGGCCCUGCUCCACUCUCAGGGAGACUCUCCCAUUAGAACUCAUCCUUCCAGUGAGCACGAGAGGAAUGAAGUUAUUAUUUCUAGAGAAAAGAAGAUGAUGAGGAUCCAGGGAUCAGAAGCCAGAGGACUGCAAGAACUUGAAUACCUAACAUGUAUAAACAUGCUUCACACACAGACUGGAGAGUCUUCUGAAAUACUUCAUCACGGAUGGAGCUGGCUCCAUAAUAAUAUGAACACUUUGCUCAAUUCAACAGAAACCUCUCAUUUCUAAUCUCGAAGUCUUUGUCUCAUUUUAAAAUGAGAGAAACUUAACAAUAUCAUCCAGCACAUUAGAGACUUUGCAGAAAAUCUUUUUUUUUCCUCUCUCUCUUUUUCUUGACAAUGUCCUGCUCUGUCACCCAGGCUGGAUACAGCCUGGUACCAUCAUAGCUCACUGCAGCCUCAACCUCCUGGGCUCAAGUGAUUUUUCCCACCUCAGCCUCCUGAGGAGCUGGAACUACAGGCGUGUGUCACGAAGCUCAGCUAAUUUUUUUGUACUGACAGGGUCCCACUAUGUUGCCCAGGCUGGUCUUGAACUCAUGGGCUCAGACAAUACUCCUGCCUUGGCCUCCCAAAGUGCUGAGAUUACAGGCAUGAGCUACCAUGCCUGGCCACAAUAUCUUAUGCAAAUUAACAAAUUAUUCAAUUUGCUCUAUUAGAUCUAAAAAUAGCCACUCUAAAAAUAUAUGCAGAUGAUCACCAAUCACUUCCAAAGACACUUCCAAAGAUCUUUGUCUAUUGGAAAAAGAUGUAAAAUAGAUACAGAAAACAAAACAGAUGGACAUAUUUCAUUGCCAAUGCCCUUUUCUGGAUAAAAGUCCAUACAUAUAAUACACACUGUAUAAAUGUCGACUUACGACUUUUCUCCUGAUUCACAUUAACUCAAUCACAAGUAAACUUCCCUUCAACUGGGCCAUCUCCCAACCAUAUUUUUAUCCUUAGUUUCUUUCUUAGUAUAAAGUGGGGAUGAAAACAGCACUUAGACUGACAGGGCUAAGGUAAAGAUGAAAGAAAGCAACCCCUGAGUACUUAGAACACCACCUGGCACCUACUCACUGUUAGUAAGACUGGCCUCUUCUUAUCAUUAUUGUUAUUGGUGACUUCCUUGCAUUCCAGGAAUUCUGGGAGUCAUUACUCUGAGCUUAAUGUUUACUGUCUAAUUUUAAAAGCAAAUUCUGACUGGGUGUGGUGGCUCACACCUGUAAUCCCAACACUUUGGAAGGCCAAGGUAGGAGGAUCGCCUGAGCCCAAAAGUUCGAGAUCAGCCUAGGCAACAUAGCGAGACCCUGUCUCUAC